rnacentral:rRNA from 1 species
CUGAUCCAGCAAUGCCGCGUGUGUGAAGAAGGCCUUCGGGUUGUAAAGCACUUUUGUCCGGAAAGAAAUCGCACUUACUAAUAUUAGGUGUGGAUGACGGUACCGGAAGAAUAAGGACCGGCUAACUACGUGCCAGCAGCCGCGGUAAUACGUAGGGUCCAAGCGUUAAUCGGAAUUACUGGGCGUAAAGCGUGCGCAGGCGGUUGUGCAAGACCGAUGUGAAAUCCCCGGGCUUAACCUGGGAAUUGCAUUGGUGACUGCACGGCUAGAGUGUGUCAGAGGGGGGUAGAAUUCCACGUGUAGCAGUGAAAUGCGUAGAGAUGUGGAGGAAUACCGAUGGCGAAGGCAGCCCCCUGGGAUAACACUGACGCUCAUGCACGAAAGCGUGGGGAGCAAACAGGAUUAGAUACCCUGGUAGUCCACGCCCUAAACGAUGUCAACUAGUUGUUGGGGAUUCAUUUCCUUAGUAACGUAGCUAACGCGUGAAGUUGACCGCCUGGGGAGUACGGUCGCAAGAUUAAAACUCAAAGGAAUUGACGGGGACCCGCACAAGCGGUGGAUGAUGUGGAUUAAUUCGAUGCAACGCGAAAAACUUACUACCCUUGACAUGCCACUAACGAAGCAAGAUGCAUUAGGUGUCCAAAA